rnacentral:rRNA from 1 species
AGGACGAACGCUGGCGGCGUGCUUAACACAUGCAAGUCACGGGGGCUCGCAAGAGCAACCGGCGAACGGGUGCGUAACGCGUGAGCAACCUACCGAUUUGUGGGGGAUAGCCGGCCCAACGGCCGGGUAAUACCGCAUACGCUUGUCUGGUCUCCUGACCGGACAAGGAAACCUCCGGGGCAAAUCGAGGGGCUCGCGGCCUAUCAGCUAGUUGGCGAGGUCACGGCUCACCAAGGCGACGACGGGUAGC